rnacentral:rRNA from 1 species
UAGGGAAUCUUCCGCAAUGGGCGAAAGCCUGACGGAGCAACGCCGCGUGAGUGAUGAAGGUCUUCGGAUCGUAAAACUCUGUUAUUAGGGAAGAACAAAUGUGUAAGUAACUAUGCACGUCUUGACGGUACCUAAUCAGAAAGCCACGGCUAACUACGUGCCAGCAGCCGCGGUAAUACGUAGGUGGCAAGCGUUAUCCGGAAUUAUUGGGCGUAAAGCGCGCGUAGGCGGUUUUUUAAGUCUGAUGUGAAAGCCCACGGCUCAACCGUGGAGGGUCAUUGGAAACUGGAAAACUUGAGUGCAGAAGAGGAAAGUGGAAUUCCAUGUGUAGCGGUGAAAUGCGCAGAGAUAUGGAGGAACACCAGUGGCGAAGGCGACUUUCUGGUCUGUACCUGACGCUGAUGUGCGACAGCGUGGGGAUCAAACAGG